AACAUAAAAAAACCAGACAGAAAAUAAAUAAUAAUCACAAACAGUGGAAAGUAUAAUUCAUAAAAAAAUUUUAAAAAUUGGACGCUAUGCCAUUUUAAAGUUGACAAGCAAACAAGCUGGGUACAGUGAGCACAGACACUGAUUCUCAACAUUUCAAAAUAAAAUAAGCCGGUCGUUAAUAAAACUAAAGCAAAUUAGCUAAUGUUGACGAGUUAGCCCGCGCCCACCCAGCACUCAAAGUUGCAAUGCCCUCAUUAAUGCAUAACUUUGAGCUUUACUUCAAA